AGCAUUUCGUAUCCGUGUUGAGAUUUCAUCAGGAACCAGUCCAUUAGGGUUCAUGCAACUUCACAAAUGAGUGAAGUG
rnacentral:pre_miRNA from 1 species